GACGAACGCUGGCGGCGUGCUUAACACAUGCAAGUCGAACGAAGUGGCGAACGGGUGAGUAACGCGUAAUCAACCUGCACUUCAGGGGGGAACAACAGUUGGAACCGAAUGCUAAUACCGCAUACUGAAGGAGGGGAUGGCGUCGGAAGAGCUAGUUGGAGGGGUAACGGCCCACCAAGGCGAUGCUCAGUCGCCGGUCUGAGAGGAUGAACGGCCACAUGGGGACUGUGACACGGCCCAGACUCCUACGGGAGGCAGCAGUGGGGAAUCGUCCGCAAUGGACGGAAGUCUGACGGAGCAACGCCGCGUGAGUGAUGACGGCCUUCGGGUUGUAAAGCUCUGUUAAUCGGGACGCGGUACCGGAAUAGAAAGCCACGGCUAACUACGUGCCAGCCGCCGCGGUAAUUC
rnacentral:rRNA from 1 species